CCGGAUUUUCUACCAUUCUUUGGAUUUGCCUUUCCAUUUGGACUAAUCGAAAACUUCACUCAAAGAUUUUGUAAGAAUCUGUACUCCAUUUGAGAAGUGAAAGGAAAGCAAUGGCACGACAUGACUAGACCCUUGGCAAUCCGGAAACAUAUGGAAACGAGUGUAAAACCUCCAUCAGGAAAAAUAGUGUCCGCAAUAACACCAUGAACGCUAGUGUGUAAUUGGAAUCGAUGGCAAUAUGAAUACAAUUAUUAUAUUUUUACCUUA